rnacentral:rRNA from 1 species
UACGGGGGGGGCAAGCGUUGUUCGGAAUUACUGGGCGUAAAGGGCGCGUAGGCGGUCCGCUAAGUUGGAUGUGAAAACUCUGGGCUUAACCCAGAGCCUGCAUUCAAAACUGACGGGCUGGAGUUCUGGAGGGGAUAGCGGAAUUCCUGGUGUAGCGGUGAAAUGCGCAGAUAUCAGGAGGAACACCGGUGGCGAAGGCGGGUUCUCUGGGACGUAUCACACGCUGAGGAGCGAAAAGUCGGGUGGGCGAACAGG